rnacentral:rRNA from 1 species
AUACGGAGGGUGCAAGCGUUAAUCGGAAUUACUGGGCGUAAAGCGCUCGUAGGCGGUUUGUUAAGUCGGAUGUGAAAGCCCCGGGCUCAACCUGGGAACUGCAUUCGAUACUGGCAAACUAGAGUAUAGAAGAGGCAAGUGGAAUUCCGGGUGUAGCGGUGAAAUGCGUAGAUAUCCGGAGGAACAUCAGUGGCGAAGGCGACUUGCUGGUCUAAUACUGACGCUGAGGUGCGAAAGCGUGGGGAGCAAACAGGAUUAGAAACCCCAGUAGUCC